rnacentral:misc_RNA from 1 species
AAGACACAGAGUUGUUCUAUGAGGUACCAUGGCCCUAAUUCUGCUUUGAUUUAUUAAAUUUAUUUUCUAUACCAUUUAUGAUCAAGAUUUUACUGAAAAGAAAGCGAAUAGAUGUAUUUGUUUCACAUUUUGUACUAGAUAGUUUUAGUUAAUCUAUGAUGUUGGUUGGGCAGAUCUCUAGCAUUGCUUGUAGUGUUGAGUACUAAAGAGACCAAAUAAACUGGAAAGUUAUUUUUUGUGCUAUGAUAUAUAAUUGCAAACCAAGGGUGUGAGGUAUCCAUCUACAGAUGCAUAUAAAUUGAAAGCACAGGUGUGGUGCAUGGGAGAUGGUGGUGCACUGUUACACUGGCCAAGUGGUUUUGUUCAGCUGUCUCUAUACCUAAGGGUGUGUAAUCGGUCAAAUUAAACUGGGAAAACCAAAUUACUGAAUUAUAUAUUUUGAAGAAUUGAACUGAACCGAUUUAAAGAGGCCAACUGGACUGAACCCAUUUUCUUGGAUCUGUUCUUCCUCCCAUCUGCAUACUUCCAUUCUCUCUGAAAUCCCAAAUUUCAAGCAAACUCAAAAUUUUUAGCAAUUUAAUAACCCCAAUCAAGCAAAGGCAACCAAAAAAUUCUUACAGUGGGCAUAGAAUUAAUGAAAUUUCAUCAAAUACAAAUUUGAGAUUCCAAAAAAUACUUGGAUCAAAAGAAGCCAAAGGAGAUAACACAGACAACAAUGGAAAUUUGGUAUGCGGAGAAGAAAGAAUCGCCAAGAGUUGAGAGAGAGCUGUGAGCAACAACACCACCAUCUCCAUUGGUGGAUGGCAGCAACACGACUCUCUCUGUGAGCCGCGAUCUGCAAAUUGGUGCUCCUUCUGCAAGUCAAUUAUGUGCCUCUGGCUCUAGCAUGCGAUUCCAAUUGUAAAAAAGCAAAUCAAUUGCAUGCAAGGUGGAGCAAUCAAAGAUGCAAAUCAACUGAAUGAAGCAAUCUAAGAAGCAAGAAGGUGAAGGAUCUAGAGAAGAAGUCAACUGGAUGAUGGAUUUGGAAACGGCAAGGAGGCAAGGAGUUGAGGUUGCGAGAGGAGGGGAUAGAAACUGGAGUGACUGGAUGGCAAUGGAUGAUGAAUUUCCAAACAGCAAGAAGAAGAAGAAGAAGAGAUAUGGGAAGGGGAGGGCAGGAGUUGAGGUUGCUGGUGUCAUGGGAGAGGGGGCUGAGACUUUGAGGCAAGCAGAGGAAGGAGAAGAAGUUAGGGUUAGUGUGGCUUUUAUAUGAAAGUAGGUGUGGGCUGGCCUUGCUGGGCGUUGUAUUUGAUUACAGAAGUGGGGUUGCAACUUGAAAUGGAGCUGGUUUUUGGAGUCUAUGGGUUAGGUUGGAGAAAGGCCCAUAAUAUAUAUAAUCAGUAAGUUUUUUUACCCCAGUGUUUGGCAGAAAUAACUGAACCAAACUGAAAAUUGAACUUUUAUAAGUAUGAUAAGAGAACCAACUUAAAAACUGAAUUUCGGUUCGGUUUUUUGGUUCUAACCAAUUUCUGCUCACCCCUAUCUAUACCUUCUUUUUUUCCCCUUCCAGUCAACCAGGAAAAUUUUCACAACUUGUGGUUCUAAAUAUUUAGGGAACUUUCAGAUCAUUUUCUACUCUUCUGUAUUGAUAAUACUCCUAGUUCACAACAAGGUUGUACGGUAAAGAAAAGGAUAUGUACCCAUUUCUAGAGUUGAACUUAUGAAAUUGAUUAUUAAUUAUUGUGGCCUUAAAGAGAUGCACAGUACAUAGCUAUGGAUAGAUAUGAGCAGUUUGUUAAAGCCUUUCCAAUUAGAAUAAUGAUCACAGUAAGGGAGAAAAGCACUAUAGAAGGAAUUUUAUGUGGUUAAGUGAUGUUACUAUGUCCAUAGAGAGCCAACUGUGUUUUUUGCUGUGAAGGAUAAAGAUACAAGCAACUAGUUAUAGAAAAGCUAGAGUUUCCUUGUACUGCUAGGAAUAGGAGAAAUUCAAUAUUAAAAAAAAUCCCCCAUGAUUAGAAUCGCUUCUAAGCUGUACAUACCAAAGGGGCUUUGGGACCCGAAAAUGGAUAUUCUUCAAGCGUCUAUGUUCCCUGAAUGCAGCUAGUACACAACUAAUUUCAAGGGUUAUUGAAUUUAAGUGGUUUGUAAAUAAUUUUUUGUUCUUUUGUUAUUGUGAGCAUAUAUAAUAAUCUAAUUGCAUUUAUAAUUUUGCUUAUUUAACGCCCCCUCUAAUUAGUUGCUGUCACCUUCAAACAUCUAGAGUUAACUCAAGAGUUCCACUACCUUUGAAUGCCAAUGCUUUUUAAUUGAUUCGAGGAUAUUGCAUAUCCUUAUGUCUGCUUGUGGCAAAGUUGAUUGAACUG